CCUUUGUUGGUUGUCGCUUAGAGGAUAUAUUGAAAGCAGCUGAUUGGUCCACGGAAACUACUUUCCGUAACUUCUAUUUCAAACCAAUCCAGCAUUUCACAGAAGCCGUGAUAUCACAGCUUUAAAAUAGCAUUUAAGGAGUCUUUGAUAAAAUUCAAGGAUUUUACAAUUGUCAUGACGGAAAGUCAUGAUUUUAUUAAAGACACGGAGGCGAGUAUUAUC